rnacentral:rRNA from 1 species
AGCGAACGCUGGCGGCAGGCCUAACACAUGCAAGUCGAACGAACUCUUCGGAGUUAGUGGCGGACGGGUGAGUAACACGUGGGAACGUGCCUUUAGGUUCGGAAUAACUCAGGGAAACUUGAGCUAAUACCGGAUGUGCCCUUCGGGGGAAAGAUUUAUCGCCUUUAGAGCGGCCCGCGUCUGAUUAGCUAGUUGGUGAGGUAAAGGCUCACCAAGGCGACGAUCAGUAGCUGGUCUGAGAGGAUGAUCAGCCACAUUGGGACUGAGACACGGCCCAAACGCGGAGGAGAGAGGGGAGGGGAGAGUGGGGCGCAGGGGGGAAGGGCGGGAAGAGGGCUGGCGGGGAGAAUAAAGGAUGUCUGAGGAUUGAAAAAUUUUAUCGCGGGGAAGGAUAAUGGGGGGAGGGAAAGAGAAGGCCCCGGCUAACUUCGGGCCAGCAACGGCGGUAAUAAAGAGAAAAGCACGCAGCUGGAC